rnacentral:tRNA from 1 species
CGGGGCGUAGCGCAGCUUGGUUAGCGCACUUGACUGGGGGUCAAGGGGUCGGAGGUUCAAAUCCUCUCGCCCCGA